rnacentral:rRNA from 1 species
GUCGAACGGUAACGCGGGGCAACCUGGCGACCAGUGGCGAACGGGUGAGUAAUAUAUCCGAACCUGCCCCGUAGUGGGGGAUAGCCCGGCGAAAGCCGGAUUAAUACCGCAUGAGACCUGAGGGUGAAAGCGGGGGAUCCCAAGACCUCCCGCUAUUGGAGCGGCCGAUAUCAGAUUAGCUAGUUGGUGGGGUAAAGGCCUACCAAGGCAACGAUCUGUAGUUGGUCUGAGAGGACCACCAGCCCCCCUGGGACUGAGACCCGGCCCAGACUCCUACGGGAGGCAGCAGUGGGGAAUUUUGGACAAUGGGCGCCAGCCUGAUCCAGCCAUGCCCCGUGCAGGAAGAAGGCCUUCCGGUUGUAAACUGCUUUUGUCCGGGAAGAAAUCCUCUGGGUUAAUACCUCGGGGGGAUGACGGUACCUGAAGAAUAAGCACCGGCUAACUACGUGCCCGCCGCCGCGGUAAUACGUAGGGUGCGAGCGUUAAUCGGAAUUACUGGGCGUAAAGCGUGCGCAGGCGGCUUUGCAAGACAGAUGUGAAAUCCCCGGGCUCAACCUGGGAACUGCAUUUGUGACUGCAAGGCUAGAGUACGGCAGAGGGGGAUGGAAUUCCCCGUGUAGCAGUGAAAUGCGUAGAUAUGCGGAGGAACACCGAUGGCGAAGGCAAUCCCCUGGGCCUGUACUGACGCUCAUGCACGAAAGCGUGGGGAGCAAACAGGAUUAGAUACCCUGGUAGUCCACGCCCUAAACGAUG